AGUAUCAAUUUCGUUUCAAAAUUAACUUUGCAUGUCUUAUAUCAUCCCUAAACCAGUCUUGAGUUUGAGCAAACAAACAAUAAACAUCGAGUUGGUUUGUUUAGAAUCAUAUAUAUAAUGCCACAGUUUCUUCUCUUCUUAAGGCAUCCACGUCAGCUUCCUUUUAAUGAUUAUGGGUCCCACGUCUCGGUUUGGUUUAGUCGAAUUGGUUGGAGUUUGGUCUGGUCUGAUUUGUGUUUCCGUGUUAAAUCAGUGGAAUUCUGCGUAUUGUUUGAAAAAUAAGUGAAACUCUCGAGUCAAUUAGGGCUUCACUGUUAUUCUUCUACAAUUCAACCUUGCCGUCUCCCCUCCAUUCUUAAUCUGCGAAGCAAAUGUCGUAACCAUGGUGUUUGAUUCCGAGAAGCAAUCGAUCGUUUUUCUUGGACAUGUCGAGCUUCUCUUUUACACAUCUUCGUUUGAUAUUUUUCCUCUUUUCUCCGUUUCACCAACAAAAAAAUGCACUAGGUUCUGUUUAUUGAGGGCUUUAGAAAGUCGUGAAAUGCAAUAUGUAGGUUGAGUUUGAAUUUUUCGUCUUAGGGUUGGAAUUUUAGUUUAAUUUCCAUGUAAUAUGUGCAACUGGUGUUGGUGUGUAGGUUGGUGAUUUAUCUUCAGGUGGGAUUAGCUCGGUCAAAGAACCUUUGAUUAAGGAGAACACCACAGCCCAGAAGACUACUCUGUUCUUGCAGCCAUUCCCCACAUUUGUUGCAGGUUUCUCUUACCAGCUCUUGGAGCUUUGCUUUUUGGUUACGAGAUUGGUGCUACUUCUUGUGCCAUUAUUUCUAUUAAGUCUCCUAAGCUAAGUGGGAUCUCAUGGUACAACUUGUCUCAGUGGCUGUUGGUUACAAUAACUCCUGAAGUCGAGAGCAAUCAUUGCUGAGUUAGUGAGACUACAUAAAGAGUCUGAUCUCAGGCCGGAAAAGCCUCUGCACUGUCGGGGAGCUUCCUUUCACUUGGAAAGAGUUCGCUGUUAAGAUCUUUGAUGAGACGACAGUAUCAUCAAUGGCCCUAUAUGGGAGUGAUCAUAUAAGGUGGCUAUCAAGUUCGUUGCACGGACUAAUAUACAAUCAUGGUGUGGGUUUAACUUUAAACAUCGACAUGGCUUCAGCUGCAUUCAGUCUCUUCCUUUGAUUGAGUUUUUAGCACAGCUUCUUGGAAAAGAUGUCUUGUCAUAGCCAUUAUCUGACUCUGAUCGUAUUAAGGUACAAUGCUCUUCAUCACAUAGUAUUAAGUCCUUGAAUCUUCUCAGUACUGGUGAUUGUAACGGAUCAAGAAGUGUCUCAGGGGAGUGAAAGACGAGGUCACUUAUAGAGCAAACGUAAGAAGGAAAUGCGUGUUGCCGGUUUAAUGACUCAGCCAACAAGAGAGCUUAUGUUUCCUGUUGAUGAGAACGCUAUGAUGAAGUCUGUUAUUGAGUAGUUUCAAGAGAGAGAUGCAUGGGUUCACGAUACAGCACACAUAUUUACCGUGUCUCCAAAUUGGAAAUAAGAAGAAGGCAAGCUAUUUCCCUAUGGAGGCGUGCAAAAUCAUGGUGGGACAGCAGAUCACUGCUCUUUUGAAAGAUACAUGCCAGGAACCAAGGGAUAGAGAAAACAAUAUUCUAAAGGUAAUCUUUUCAAUGGUUUCUUUUUGAGUUAGAAGUGAGGAUUAAUCUUGGUUUGCUGCAAUCAUUGACAACAUAGCUCCCAAGACUUUCAAGACCAAUGAAUCUGGAUUUGUUGAGGUGGAAGGUGUGGAAGCAUCGGCAUCUGCGAGCAACAAGGUUAGAGGUGAAGAUGAUGAACCAAGUCCAUCCGCAUCUGCAGGCAAAGAGAGUAGCGAUGAAGCUCCAUCGGCGUCUGCAAACUGUGUUGAAGAGGAAGGUGGCCAAGCAUCCACUUCUGCCAGCAUCAAGGUUGGGGGAAAAGCCAAUGAACCAUAUCCAUCCGGUGUUGAAGGCAAAGAGGGUGACCGUAAACGCCCCGCGAGUGAAGAAACAAAACUGUUAAUCGUCAACCCAAAUUUGCUUCAGUCUCUUUACGGUUUCAUAAUUUAAUAUGCAUUUCCUAUUUCACACUCUUACAUUUUUUUCCCCAAUUUUCAGGUUUUUUUAUUUGGCCCUUUACGGCUAACUAAUCCACAAAGACAACAAUUUUAAAAAUCUUAAUGUAAAAAGGGGUUGACAAAUA